CCCAUCCUUGUCCUGGGAUUGCGUCACCAUCCAAUGAGCGCACAGUGAUGGUGGAACUGUAAACGUCUACACAACACGCCUGUAUCAACUGCAGCUUUCUUUGCUUUACCUUCGUGCAAUUUUUGAAAAA
ensembl:snRNA